rnacentral:piRNA from 1 species
UAGUGUCAAGAAGUACAAUGAAAGUCAUUAU